rnacentral:lncRNA from 1 species
CAAAUUAUUAAAUUUGUUCAAAUAGAUCAUCAACCUUUCAUUAUUGUCAUUUAAAUCUUUCGCAUAGGUAAUCCCCAACUACGGAACCGACCGUUCUUUAAAUGCCGAGUGCCAUUAUUCAGGGGGAAUAUGAAUAUAACAUAAAUAGUUUUAAUAGAAGCCCGACCCCAACUAUUCGCUUCCCUGAGCCACCCGGCACUCUUUUCCUAGCACGGUCCAGCCAUAGUACCUUCCCCUUGGCUUCCCCCGUCUCCUGGUCACAGCCUG